rnacentral:lncRNA from 1 species
GCUGUGGCUUGUGCAAUGUCCUGGUGUUGGGGAGGAGUGGUGUCUUCAGGCACAGCUUCCUGCCUCCUGCACUCUUGUGCCUUUUCUGGCGUGGUGUGCUUGCCCUGAUCUGUGAUUCCAGUGCUGCCCUUGGUGAUUCACGGAGAAGGUUAUUUUACCCUGGGGACAGAGUGCCACACAAAGACUUUCCUGCUGCUGAAUGUGUGAACAAACACCAUCUCAGAGAAUCAAUAGAAGAAAUCUAAGAAGAAAUGCCUUGAUUGGCAAAGACUUCUGGUGGCCUAUACAGAAUCAUAAAAUGAAUGAAGCACCUGAUGGUCAAGGAAGAGAAAAGAAGAUGAAAGGAUGAAUGCGUAUUUGUUUCAUAAUCACUAACAGGUGUUAAUAAAACGUAUUGUACAAUGCUCAAUUGUCAUGACAUUGAAAGGGAUCAGGUUCACCUGUUCAUUGUGAUAUAUUAUGUAGUUUCACUUCUUAAAAUGCAACAGCUCUGUUGAAUUGUUCUUAUCAUUAACACUUGAAGUAAUAAAAUAGGCUUUAUUAAUGUUUCAUUUGAUUUAUUUUUAUUAUAGUUCCAUUUGUGAAGAUUGUGACUUCUGUUUA